UAUGUGACGACCAGCAAAAAUUAAUUAAAUACGUAUAUCAAAAUGUAAUUUAAAUCCGUCUAGCGUAUAUAGAUUGUUGCUCUUUAAAUUUGAAUAUGAGCGAAGUAGUAAUAUACCGCGUUAUGGGCGGUUUUGCAUAACAAAGUGAUUUUACGUAACAAAGGAGGUAUUAAAUUAAAUAAAGGAGAGGUAUGAAACAAUGGUUUUAAAUAAGGAUUUUAAUUGAAAUAAUUUAAAUAAUUGUAAAUAAAGAAAGAAAAAAUAUAUAUGAGUUGUUUACGUCUUCAUGGAGUGCCAGGUGUGUUGGAUUAUCGUUAAAAUUGAAAACAAUGUGGCUGUCAUUAAAAGGUGCUAAAAGGUUUGGAAUUUGAAUAAUUUAAAUAAUAAUAAUAAAUAAAGAAAACAAAAAGAAUAUAUAUAUAUAUUUUAGUUGGUAAUGUUUACGUCAUGAUGCAGUGCCAGGUGUGUAGGAUCAAUAGGGUAGUAAUUAAAGGUGUUAACAGGAUUUAAUUAAACAAAGGAAAUGUAAUUGAAUUAAACAAUAGAGUUAGCGGUGUCAUUAAUAGGAUUAUUUGUUUGUGACUCAGUGUAGGCUCAUCAUGAUAAGAAUGAAUUCUAUUGGAUGAGAAAUUUCAGUGACUUGAAAAAUUCAGUGACUUGUUGGUUUGAAUUGACCGGGUAAACAUGAAUUAAUGUUUAAAUUUUGAAGAAAUUUAGGCUAAGAACACAAAAUUAGUUUCAACUACAUACAAUUUAGUUUUUACUUUACGAAUACCUAUCCACGAAGCUCGUGUUCAAAGUUAAAACAUAAUUUUGUUUUUAGAUGGAAAAAAAACUAUGUAAGAUGGAAACUGAACGAAUUUCACGAGAAAUAAAUUCAGCGUUUGUAGCAUAUAAACUAGGCAAUGACAUGAAAUAUAUAGAGCAUAUGAACAGUAAUUUUUUAUUGCGAAUAAUAAUUAAUAUUGCGAAAAGAUGUAUGAUAUGCACAAUGAAUAUCUUUAUAAAUUAACUAUAGAAGUUUUGGUUGAUUCAAAUGAGAAUAUCCAGACGUUUUUCAAAGACAAUUUAACAGAAAUGUUUAGCGAUAAUAUCAUAAACUGGGGCCAUAUAAUUAUGGUUUUUGUGUUUGGAGCGAGGUUAGCUGUUUUAUGUAAAGAUAGAAAUAGAACUGAUUUGAUUGAUCAAGUAAUACAGAAUGUAGACAAAUACGUGAAGACGGAAUUUUUGGAAUGGAUUAAUAUCCAAGGAGAUUGGAACAAUUUCGAUCAAUCGUAUACUCAACACAAAAAACGAUAGCAGAAAUUCCUCUAAUGAACGUUUCGUUAGGGAUAGCGUUAAGCCUAACAGCAACUUUGUAUCUAUACAACACAUUCUGUUAAGGAUGAUAUGUGCGAAUUAUGUGUAUAUCGGCACACACUUGUCCAGGAUGUUUCUUUUGCCAGCCGUCAAAUGGUGUAUAAAAUACCUACAGGAAUUUUGAUGGUGAACUUUACAAUAAAGUUGAAUCCGGUCCAGAGUCAGAAGAAAAUGGCAAUAGGAAAACCACACAGAAAUAUAUUCCGAUGUUCUUGUAGGACUAGAGCGAACUAGGUAAUCUGGAAUACUGGUAUUUGUUUUCAUGCAAAAUUUGAUCAAAUCAAAUAACGUUACCUUUUAUUCUACAGUGAGAAACGUUAUGCCAGUAAUCGAGCAUCACAACGCGAGAUAUUGAAGGAAUUCCUGGAAGAACGUUUGAUAAACGAACACUUAAUACAUGAAUUUAUAAAUUAUAUGAUGAUCUGUAUAAUUAUUAGUUUGAAACAAAAUAAAUGAAAAGCUUUCUUGCUUAUUGUUGAAACAUA